GGAGUCGGCCAGGCAGUCGCGUCAUCCCGUCCAUUUCGGUGGGCGCGGAUGCCGAGGAAAGUCCGGGCUCCACAGGGCACGGUGCCAGGUAACGCCUGGGCGGCGCGAGCCGACGGAAAGUGCAACAGAAAGAUACCGCCGAACGGUCCGGCUGCUGAAAGGCAUCCGGACGCGUGGCAAGGGUGAAAUGGUGCGGUAAGAGCGCACCGCGAGCCUGGCAACAGGCCGGCACGGCAAACCCCACCGGGAGCAAGGCCAAAUAGGGACCUCAUGACGUUGCCCGCGUCGGGUCCGGGUAGGCUGCUCGAGCGUAACGGUGACGUUGCGCCUAGAGGAAUGACUGCUCCAGACAGAACCCGGCUUAUCGGCCGGCUCCGCCA
rnacentral:RNase_P_RNA from 1 species